ensembl:snRNA U6 U6 spliceosomal RNA
GUGCUUGCCUCAGCAGCACAUAUACUAAAAUGGGAAAGAUACAGAGAAGAUUAAGAUAGCCCCUGCACAAGGAUGACACACAAAUUCAUGAAUUAUUCCAUAUUUUU